CCCUUAGAUGUUCUGGGCGGCCCGCGCACUACAUUGGCACUGGCAACAAGAUCCUAGAUAUGAUAUUUCGGGGUAUUCUACCAACUGGUGUCGUGACUGGGAUUAACCCCUGCAAUUAUUGGUUAUGAACGAGGAAUUCCUUGUAAUCACGGUUUAUCAACCCGUGUUGAAUGCGUCCCUGCCCUUUGUACACACCGCCCGUCGCUCCUACCGAUGAAUCGUCCGGUGAAGUUCAUGGAGUCGCGGCUGCUCCAGCUGUUUUCGAAGUGAAAUGGACCUCAUGAUUUAGAGGAAGGAGAAGUCGUAACA
rnacentral:rRNA from 1 species